GAGAAAGCUAAGUGUUGAUGACAGUGUGGGCCUGACCGUGCCUGAGUAAGCCCCAUGGGAACACAGCCGUGGUGGGAAGCAGCUUCCCAGCAGCCCUCCCCGCCAUCGGGAGAAUCCCCUGAGGCCAUGAGAGGGUCUCAGGGAGGUGGACGGCCCAUCAAGUGAGAACCGAGGGCACUGUGCACUCCUGAAUCCUAGGACUCCUCUUAGGUCAUUGACUAACAACAUCAACAAUGAAAUGAAUCUGAGAAAACAGGAAAUUGAGAGCAAGAGAAAAAAAACCUGAAACUUGGAAGUGAGCAUGAUGGAGUGGAUACAGUGAGAUGCAGAAGAAAUCCUCCAGUUUGGGCUGGAAGGGAAAAAAGAGACCCCUAAAACUCAGAGACAGUGGAAGAAAUUCCUGGUGUUUUUUUCUUCUCUUUUUCUCUGUUCUUCCACAUAGCAAUUUAGUAUUGACUACAGCAUCUCUGUUACAAUGAUAGCACCGAAAUGUUGUAACCAUAUGGCCUGCAAAGCCAAAAAUACUUAUCUGACCAUCUACAGGAAAAGUUUGCUGAUCUGGAUGAAAUAUUCUGAUACUAAAUAUUCCAUUUUGAGGCUGAUAUUCCUAAUCUAUUCAUAAGGAUGGCAUAUCUACCCAGUGGGCCUGCUGGGACUCCAGUUACCCGAUGCACAUACAUUGCUUGGUGGUCAGUAAAUAUUAUUUUGCUUUCUUUAUUCCUUUGUGGAAAAAUUUCAGGUAGAGAAGAAACCUGAAAUAAUUUGAAGAACUUUAAAAUUUUUUUCACCCACUAAUUUAUAUUCUCAUUAGCAAAAAGAACCGAAUAUUGGUAGCUCUAUACUUUAUAAUAAAGAUGUGGAACUUCUUGAUUACUCUUUCCUUCUUCUACGUUGACUCAUUCUAUCACUAUUAAUUCACUCAGGAAAUGCUGAUUGAGCAGCUCCUUUGUAUAGAUGUUAAUAGCACGGUUCUCGCCAUAGGUCACAGAGGUUGGUUUGCUGAGCAACUCUGAGAACCCGUUUUUAAGUUCCCUGACUCUCCUAUUCACUGGAAUGGAAUGCCUUGCUGUCUGGGCCCUCCUUGCUUCACCUUCCAAUGAACUGAAAUCAUCACACUGAUCCUAUUGUAGCGGAGAGUGGUGUGUUAAAACCAUAACCAUAACCCCGUCUGGAGACCAGCCUCAGCUCUGUCGCUUUCUUAUCUCUUCAGAUGCAGCAGAUAGUUACCUCUAACUUUUAGUUUGCCUCAGACAUUAAGAAUAAAAUCAUAUUCAGCAUAAUUUAGGUGUCAUUCUCCACAUUCCACUGGUGCUAACAAACAUUUUUGUAUUGUUCCCAUGUGUCAACAAUAGCAAUCUGUGGCUCAUUAUAAGUGACAGCAAAUGUCAACAAGCCUGCCUCCUGGAGAUUUGUUUGUAAAGAUUCCUUAUCAGUUGUUGUUAUUUAUACCCCUGGCUUCUAUCGUCAUUGAUUAUUCUAUAUAUUUUCCUCCUUCAAGUGAAUGUACAAAGAGACCAAGAAAACCUCAGUCAAACUUGGAAAUUUCCUUUGUAAUAUUCUUUUUAAAGUUAGUUAUGUGGCAGUUUCGUGUGCAUUUUUGGUGAUGAUGCUCCACGGAACAUCUGCAGAUGUGCUGUCAAUUUGGACAGCUCUGACUACCGAGUGAAUGGGAAGUACUAACGAGAACUGUCUGCUUGGGAACUCCAUGAAGUUCGUGGCUUUUGUGAUUGAAAUAGCAUCAAUAAAAGGUUGACACUGUGGAACAACACAAGCCUGCAUGGACCUGGUUAUCUCUGACCUCGCACCACUCAUGAGACCAUACCUGAGCCCUACUCCACUUUGGCAGAACUGUUGCAUGGCCUCUCUUCAUAUAAUACCUCUCCGUACACCGUACACCGCAGCUCAAAGAAAGGAUAUAUGCUCCCUGUGAAGACUAAUGGAACUGUCCCUCCUGAUCCUCCUACAGACUUCCUCUGGCCUAAUGGGUGCACCAUUGCAUUAUAUCUGCCAUCUAUACACACAUAUACCUUUCAACCCUGCACUCUCUGAGAUGACUGGACUCAUGCCUAAAUAACUGAUGCUGUCCCUAGUGUAAGGUAAGCACUCAAUAGUUUCUCAGGAAAUGAAUAUGAUAAAUAUUUUGGCUGUUUAGAGGCUUUCCUUCACUUCAUUUUCUGUGUCCUCUUAUUUAAAAAGAAGUGCUCACUA
rnacentral:lncRNA from 1 species